rnacentral:rRNA from 1 species
UACGGAGGGGGCUAGCGUUGUUCGGAAUUACUGGGCGUAAAGCGCACGUAGGCGGCUUUGUAAGUUAGAGGUGAAAGCCCAGGGCUUAACCCUGGAAUUGCCUUUAAGACUGCAUCGCUAGAAUCGUGGAGAGGUGAGUGGAAUUCCGAGUGUAGAGGUAGAAAUUCGUAGAUAUUCGGAAGAACACCAGUGGCGAAGGCGACUCACUGGACACGUAUUGACGCUGAGGUGGCGAAA